GGGAGGGACUGGACGCCUGGUGCUUUCGAAUCUCAGCCCAGGGGAUGCUGGGGAGUAUCGGUGCUGGGCCAACAAUUCCUACGGGUCGGCCAGCCGGGCUCUGUGUGUGCACGUGCAGCACCCGCCUGGGCCCCCCAACAUCACUGGGACCCUGACCAGGAACGGACACCCCGUGCCAGAUGCGUGGGGAGCUGAGGGCGAUGUCGUGUCUCUGGAGACCCAGGAGGGCGACUCCCUGAGCCUGAGCUGUGAGGCUGGGAG